rnacentral:rRNA from 1 species
GACGAACGCUGGCGGCGUGCUUAACACAUGCAAGUCGAACGGAAAGGCCCUGCUUUUGUGGGGUGCUCGAGUGGCGAACGGGUGAGUAACACGUGAGUAACCUGCCCUUGACUUUGGGAUAACUUCAGGAAACUGGGGCUAAUACCGGAUAGGCGCUCCUGCUGCUUGGUGGGGGUUGGAUUGUUUCGGCGGUUGGGGAUGGACUCGCGGCUUAUCAGCUUGUUGGUGGGGUAGUGGCUUACCAAGGCUUUGACGGGUAGCCGGCCUGAGAGGGUGACCGGCCACAUUGGGACUGAGAUACGGCCCAGACUCCUACGGGAGGCAGCAGUGGGGAAUAUUGCACAAUGGGCGGAAGCCUGAUGCAGCAACGCCGCGUGCGGGAUGACGGCCUUCGGGUUGUAAACCGCUUUCGCCUGUGACGAAGCGUGAGUGACGGUAAUGGGUAAAGAAGCACCGGCUAACUACGUG